AUAUUAAAAAAAGCGCCAGGACUUGUAUAAGUUGACGAGGACUAGAUUAAUCGAACUAUUCGGCGGAUGGUCUAGAGGCAUAGUACUGCCUAAACGAUGAACAAAAACACUGAGCAAUCAGCCAACAGAUUUCAUCAGGUACUCCU
rnacentral:ncRNA from 1 species